rnacentral:rRNA from 2 species
AUAAAUUAUUAAGAGCGUAUGGUGGAUGCCUUGGAAU